AUUGAACGCUGGCGGCAGGCCUAACACAUGCAAGUCGAACGGUAACAGGAAGCAGCUUGCUGCUUUGCUGACGAGUGGCGGACGGGAGAGUAAUGUCUGGGAGACUGCCCGAUGGAGGGGGAUAACUACUGGAAACGGUAGCUAAUACCGCAUAACGUCGCAAGACCAAAGAGGGGGACCUUAGGGCCUCUUGCCAUCGGAUGUGCCCAGAUGGGAUUAGCUAGUAGGUGGGGUAACGGCUCACCUAGGCGACGAUCCCUAGCUGGUCUGAGAGGAUGACCAGCCACACUGGAACUGAGACACGGUCCAGACUCCUACGGGAGGCAGCAGUGGGGAAUAUUGCACAAUGGGCGCAAGCCUGAUGCAGCCAUGCCGCGUGUAUGAAGAAGGCCUUCGGGUUGUAAAGUACUUUCAGCGGGGAGGAAGGGAGUAAAGUUAAUACCUUUGCUCAUUGACGUUACCCGCAGAAGAAGCACCGGCUAACUCCGUG
rnacentral:rRNA from 1 species